AGGACUAUAAUUUAUAAAAAAUAUUUGAUUUGCAUUCAAAAAAAGCCACUUGGUUUGUCUUA
rnacentral:tRNA from 1 species